UCAGACGAUGCGUCAUGCAUAUCAAUAAGCGGAGGAAAAGAAACUAACAAGGAUUCCCCUAGUAACGGCGAGUGAAGCGGGAAGAGCUCAAAUUUGAAAUCUUAAAGGGUUUCCCUUUACGAAUUGUAGUUUAAAGAAGUGUUUUCUGUUGAGGUUUUGGUAAAAGUUCUUUGGAAUAGGACAUCAUAGAGGGUGAGAAUCCCGUAUUUGACCGUUACUUUCUAGCUUUGUGAUACACUUUCAAAGAGUCGGAUUGUUUGGGAAUGCAGUCCAAAAUGGGUGGUAAAUUUCAUCUAAAGCUAAAUAUUGGCGAGAGACCGAUAGCGAACAAGUACCGUGAGGGAAAGAUGAAAAGAACUUUGAAAAGAGAGUUAAACAGUACGUGAAAUUGUCAAAAGGGAAGCGUUUGACACCAGUGUUGUUUUUCUGAAAAUCAAUUAAAGAACUGUUUAUGCUAAGUUGUUUAGACUUUAUCAGCUAACUGUUUAGUUUUGAGCUUUUCUUUAAUGCACUUUUCAGUUAACAAGUCAACAUCAAUUUCUUUUGCUGUAAAAAAGCUUGAGGAAGGUGGCUUGAGAUUCGUCUUAAGUGUUUAUAGCCUCUUGCCUAUGCAGUCGGAGAGAUUGAGGUCUGCAGCGUAGAUCCUUCGGGGCUAAAUGCAUUUGUGCUAAGUUAUAGCAUUUUAUAGACAACUUGUUGACUAUGAUUUGUCUUGUAGCUUACUCGCUUAUGUUAUUUUACCUACGCUUAGGAUGUUGAAGUCAUCGUAUCGCGC
rnacentral:rRNA from 1 species